GUUCCAUCAGUACACCACAGACCUCUGGAAUAUUUGCAAUCCCCAACUCCUCGAUUAGUCUGCCUUGUAUCUCCUAGACCGGAUAUUCUCUUCACCCCCCAUUAUUUUCAUCAUAUUGCAUGGAAUCCUGCAGGGAACCAGGGCCAAUGUAGACAAAUCCCUGGAUGGGGACAUAGCCCUCAGGCUCACUGGUAUUCAUGCCAGGCACUGGAAUGUAAGACUCCAUAACGCUCCUCCAGAAACAUUAUGUCCUGAAUCCAGCACCUAAAUAUC